UACGAGAGGCCCAACCGUUAUUCGGAUUUACUGGGCUUAAAGAGUUCGUAGGCGGUCCGUCAAGUGGGGUGUGAAAGCCCUCGGCUCAACCGAGGAAUUGCGCUCCAAACCGUCGGGCUCGAGGGAGAUAGAGGUGAGCGGAACUGAUGGUGGAGCGGUGAAAUGCGUUGAUAUCAUCAGGAACACCAGAGGCGAAGGCGGCUCACUGGGUCUCUUCUGACGCUGAGGAACGAAAGCUAGGGGAGCAAACGGG
rnacentral:rRNA from 1 species